rnacentral:rRNA from 1 species
CCAGCGAUUAGGUCGGGAACUCAAAGGAGACUGCCAGUGAUAAACUGGAGGAAGGUGGGGAUGACGUCAAGUCAUCAUGGCCCUUACGACCAGGGCUACACACGUGCUACAAUGGCGCAUACAAAGAGAAGCGACCUCGCGAGAGCAAGCGGACCUCAUAAAGUGCGUCGUAGUCCGGAUUGGAGUCUGCAACUCGACUCCAUGAAGUCGGAAUCGCUAGUAAUCGUGGAUCAGAAUGCCACGGUGAAUACGUUCCCGGGCCUUGUACACACCGCCCGUCACACCAUGGGAGUGGGUUGCAAAAGAAGUAGGUAGCUUAACCUUCGGGAGGGCGCUUACCACUUUGUGAUUCAUGACUGGGGUGAAGUCGUAACAAGGUAACCGUAGGGGAACCUGCGGUUGGAUCACCUCCUUACCUGAAAGAAGC